GAUGAACGCUGGCGGCGUGCCUAAUACAUGCAAGUCGAGCGAACAGACGAGGAGCUUGCUCCUUUGACGUUAGCGGCGGACGGGUGAGUAACACGUGGGUAACCUACCUAUAAGACUGGGAUAACUUCGGGAAACCGGAGCUAAUACCGGAUAAUAUUUUGAACCGCAUGGUUCGAUAGUGAAAGAUGGCUUUGCUGUCACUUAUAGAUGGACCUGCGCCGCAUUAGCUAGUUGGUAAGGUAACGGCUUACCAAGGCAACGAUACGUAGCCGACCUGAGAGGGUGAUCGGCCACACUGGAACUGAGACACGGUCCAGACUCCUACGGGAGGCAGCAGUAGGGAAUCUUCCGCAAUGGGCGAAAGCCUGACGGAGCAACGCCGCGUGAGUGAUGAAGGUCUUCGGAUCGUAAAACUCUGUUAUUAGGGAAGAACAAACGUGUAAGUAACUGUGCACGUCUUGACGGUACCUAAUCAGAAAGCCACGGCUAACUACGUG
rnacentral:rRNA from 1 species